rnacentral:rRNA from 1 species
UGCCAGCAGCCGCGGUAAUACGGGGGAUGCAAGUGUUAUCCGGAAUUACUGGGCUUAAAGAGUUCGUAGGUGGUUGAAAUAGUUGGUGGUGAAAUCCCAGAGCUUAACUCUGGAACUGCCAUCAAAACUUUUCAGCUAGAGUAUGAUAGAGGAAAGCAGAAUUUCUAGUGUAGAGGUGAAAUUCGUAGAUAUUAGAAAGAAUACCAAUUGCGAAGGCAGCUUUCUGGAUCAUUACUGACACUGAGGAACGAAAGCAUGGGUAGCGAAGAGGAUUAGAUA